UUUAGCAAGCUGCCUCCAGCACUGGGUGAGACCAUGGAACCUGAAUCUCCAAAGUGUCUCCAGAUAAUAUUAUGAUGACAGUCAUUCAUGAGUCAUCAAUGUCUAUGUUGAAACCUACAGUCCUUGUUGCUUCUGAAGAGAUUUCUAAUGUCAAGGAUCCCUGAAGCCAGCAGAAUCUACACUGAAGUUCACAAUCAAUAUUGCAAUGUCAGGUCAUUUUGAGAGCUACAUGUUCUGAGAUAUGUUUUGUCGGGGUCAUAUAUAUACUAGCAACAGACAACAGUGUAUACUCAUGAUACUUCAGACCUCCAGCAGCCAUGAUGUCAUUGAUCUCCACUGCCUCAUGGGAGCCCAUUAAUAUGAGUGUCUUCAACUUCAAGUAAAAUCAUUACAGAUAUCAGUUAUCCAUGAUCCUUCCCAACUCAUGAGAAGGGUUCUGCCAGCUGUAACCAUCUUUACGUCAUGUUGUAUCUUGUCACUAGACAAGAGGUUUCUGUAUGUGGGCAUACCAGCUAUCUGAAAUUAUCUUAUUGUCUGUGAUAUUUCUGGUGACAGACACCAUGGUGUAUCCCUGAUCCUUCCUGUGACUUUGGAUCAGUUGAUAACAUGAGAAAGACAAGCAUCCAAAGAAAACAUAUUGACAUUACUCAUGUACAAUGCCAGUGGUAAGUAUGUUCAGAUCCACAGCCAGCAUUGUCCUGGAAGUGCUCUCUGAUGUCUGAGAUCCCAAUGCCAGAAGAAUCUAUGAUAAAGAUCAUUGUCAGUAGUGCUGCCUACUGUCAUAAUGAGGUAAGUACUGUGUUUUGCUACUGAAGAUACCAUUGAUGCCAAUGAUCCUACCUGCAACCUGAAGCUAUGUUAAGGUCAGUGCUGCUUGAAGUGACCAGCCAUCCAGAUGGAGUUCACUGUUAAUAUUGCUGAAGGAGAUCCUGAUGAUGGCUAUGAUCUACAUUGCUUCUGGAGAACCUGCUGAAUUCCAAGGCCCAUACUGACACCCAAGGUCAUUUUGAGGUAAGUGUUCUGAGCUGUCACUAGAGAAAGAUUGAUGGCUGAGGUUCUAUCAUUACAGGAAAUUCAGUUGAAGUUUCUGAUGUAUGCAUGUAUCCCCGGAUAUUAAUCAUGAUACAGCAAUCCUACCUGUAAUAUGAAGUUCUGUUGAUGUCAAUGAUGUAUUCUGUGACCAGCAAUCAUGAAGGAGUACAUUAUUCCUAUUGGUGAUGGAGACUCUGUUGAUGGCUAAGGUCUUUGUUGCUGUUCAAGCAUCUGAUAAAUUCCAAGGUCCUUACUGAUUCCUGAAUUCAUAUUGGAGUAAUUAUUCAUAGCUGGCACUGGAGAUCAAAUUGAUGGCUGAGAUGCUACCUGUUACAGGAAAUUCUAUUAUUCCUAGUGCAUGCAAAUACCUCCAGAUGUUACAUAUGCAAUGUGCUUUGAUGUUUAUGACAAUAUCUGGAACCUAAAGCAAUAUAGAUGUAAAUGCUGCAUGAUAUAAACUGCAAUCAUGGUGGAGUCCAUUAUUCCUAUUGUUGAUGGAGACCCAAGGAAAAGUAUUUUGUGAGCUCAACCAUUUUGAUUUCAUAAUACAUCCUAUCACUGGAGAGGUUUCUGGCUAAGGUUCUUCUGGUCAUCAGAAACUGUCUGGGAGUGCAUAAUACUUAAGUUCAUGAUCGAUGCUGCUACUUUUCACUUGAUUAAUGACAUUGGUGAUUACAACUCUCAAGGGAAAUAUAUUAAUGUCACUCAUCUAUAAUAUUAUUUGCUACCAUGUUGAGAUCCAAAGUCAGUGUUUUCUUGGAAGUGCUCUCUGAAAUGUGAAUUCCUUGAUACAGAAGAAUCUCUUGUGAAGUUCAUGAUCAGUAGUGCUGCCCAAGGUAAUAAUGAGGUAAGUGCUGUGUGCUAUUACAGGAGAUGCAUUUGAUGCCUGUGACCCUACCUGAAAUAUGAAGCUAUUCUGAUGUCGGUGCUGCUGCUGUGACCAGCAAUCACUAUAGAGUGAUUCUUAUUACUGAUUAAAACCCUGUUGAUUGCUAUGACCUAUUUUUCUUCUGGAGAACUGCCUGAAUUCCAAGGUCAUACUGACAACUGAUGUCAUAUUGAGGUAAGUGUUCUGAGCAGGCACUGGAGAAAAGAUUGAUGGCUGAUAUCCUAAGUGUCACAAGAAAUUCUGUUGAUGUUCCUGAGGCAUGCAUGUAGUUCCCGGUGUCUUUCAUGGAGUAUAUUUUGAUACCUGUGAUCCUACCUCUAACAAGAUGCUAUGUAGAUGUCAGUGAUGCAUUCUGUGACCAGCAAUCAUGAAGAAGUCUAUUAUUCCUAUUGAUGAUGGAGACCCUGGAAUUGCUAAGAUCUGUCUUUCUGCCUGAGAAUCUGAUAAAUUCCAAGGUCCUUACUGAUGCCUGCAGGCAUAUUGAGAUAUACCAUGAUAAAUUUCAGAUUCCUAUGCCAACAGUCAAACAGGCAGUGAGUAAUCACUACUACCACUUUGGAACAAAUUGAUUAUAUCCAUGAUUCCAACUGCCAAGGAAAAUAUAUUGAUGUCACCCAUUCAUGCUGUCACUUGUAUCCAUAUUGUGAUCCAUGACCAGCAGCUUUGAAGAGGCCUUGAUGUCUGUGAUAACUCAACCAGAAAGAUCUGUUUUGAACUUCAUUGUUAGUUCUGGUGCCUAAGGUCAUAAUGAGGCAAGUCGUGUGUGAUCCAACUGAAGACAUGUUUGAUGCCAGUGCUCAUAUCUGCAACUGGAAGUUAUGUUGAUGUUAGUGCUGCAUGCUGUAACCAGAAAUCAUAGUAGAGUCCAGUAUUCCUAUUGCUAGUGGAGACCCUUGUGAUGGCUAUGAUCUGUGCUGCUUUUGGAGGACAUGCUGAAUUCCAAGGUCCAUACUGACAUGUGGGGUCAUAGUUAGGUUUUGAAGUCCAUGGUAUGAAUUGCUGUCUAAAGUUAUAAUGAAGUAGAUGUUGUAUGCUGCUACUGGAGACAUGUUUGAUAUCUGUGAUCCUAACUGCAACCUGAAUCUAUGUUGAUGGCAACACUGAACUAGGAUGGACUCCAGGAUUCCUAAUGUGGAUAAAGACUAUGGUUAUGGCUAUGAUCUCUGCUGCUAUCUAAGACAUUCGAAAUUAUAAGCAUGUCAAUUGUGAACUUCAUGGUCAGAACUGCUGCCCAAGAUUAUAAUGAGUUUCUAUUUCCUAGGAAGAGCCAUUUGAUGACAUGAUCUGUGUUGUUGCAUGAGAACAGGAUGAAUUCAAAGAUCUAUACUGAUGUGCAUAUUGAGACCUUGCUAUGAGUAAUAUCCUUGCUGCCACAAGAAGAAAUUUGAUGUGAUUGAUUCCUCCUGCCACUGGAGAAGAGAUUUAUGUCCAUAAUUUCUUCUGCCCUCUGAAUCAACUCUGAUGUCAGUGAUACAACUGUCAGCAGACAUCAUACUAUAUAAUCCAUGAUGUGAAUAGGAAACAUCAUAUUAGAUAUCUGUGCUGCCGGUUUGGAUCAGGAUGGUAUCAAUGAUCCUAACUGCCAACAGAAAAUAGUGAUGCCACUCAUCUAUGCUUCUACCUGCAAAUAUAGUGAUAUCUAUAUCUGUUGUGCCUCUGAAGAGCUUGGAGAUAACUGUUAUCCAUGGUGCUAGAAAAGUCUGUCUUGAACUACAUGGUCAAUAAUACUGCCUAAGUCAUGUUGACUUAUGUGUACUGUGCUGCAACCAGAGAUGAGUUUUAUGACUGUGACCUGACUUGAGAACUGUAUCAGUGUUGAUGUCACGGCUACCUACUGACAACAGUAAUCAUGAGGAUAUUUAUUGUUUCUAUUAAGAUACUGUAAAACACAGGAGUGUAUGAAAUGCCUAUUAUAUGAGUGAAAUCCCUGCUGUUGACUAUAUUAUGAAUAAGAUCCUCAAUGCAAUCAAUCAGAAGAACUAAUCAAGAUGUCAUUGAUCCGUCCUGACAAUAGAGAAGAUGUUUAUGUUAAUAUUUUCUCUUGCCCUCUGAAUAUAUACCAAUAUCCAUGAUAUGGCCAGAAACAGAUAACAGGGUAUUGCCCAAGAUGAAUCCUGCCACAGGCAACCAUGAUUUCAGUGAUCUCUGUUGCAAAUGAGUAACAUGUUAAUAUCACUAAUUCAAGGUGCCACUAUGUUGAUGUCCAUCAUCAAUGAUGACACUGACAGCUAUGUUGAAUGCCAUAGUUCAUGUUGAUUCUGAAGAGAUUGUUAAUAUCAAGGAACCUUGUUGCUACCAGAGCCUAUGGUGAAGUUCAGUCAAUACUGCUAACUAAGCUUAUGUUUAGUUAAACUUUCUGUGGUAUGUUGAAGUCAGUGAUAAAUUGUGGCAACAGACACCAUUGUAUUCCCAUGAAUCUUGAUGUGACUAGCAGCCAUAGUGUCAGAGAUCACUGGAGAAACAUGUGACUACAUUUAUCUGAGUGAUUCCAACUGUCACCAGAAUCUAUACUGAUGUCAGUGAUCCAUUUUCUGCUGCCUGAGGCCAUGUUACAUAUGAAAUAUGUGCUGCAAGAUCUAUCAUUAUGUAUGAAAUGUGUGCUGUUAAGAAUCCACCCUGCCAUUAGAAAAGAAGUUUCUGUCCAUGGUCUGAUCUGGCCUCUGAAACUGCAUCAAUGUUACAGAUACCUCCUAGAAGAAAACCCCAUGGUAUAUCCUAUAUCAUCACUGUGGCCACUAGCCCACCAGCAAACACGAUGAUGCCCAUUAUUUCUAUUGAGGUCCUACCUGCCACAGGAAACUAUGGUGAUGUCCCUGAUGUAUGACUGUAGCUGAUCUGUAAAGCAUGCCAUGUAUAAGAUCCUAACUGCCCCCAGAAUAUCUAGUGUUAUAAAUGGUCCACCCUUGUAGAUACUUGCCAACUGUAACUAUUUUGAUAUCGAGGAUCCAUCCUGGAACUAGAGAAGAGGGUUUUUUUGUUUUGUUUU
rnacentral:sRNA from 1 species